UACGAAGGGGGCUAGCGUUGCUCGGAAUCACUGGGCGUAAAGCGCACGUAGGCGGCUUUCUAAGUCAGGGGUGAAAUCCUGGAGCUCAACUCCAGAACUGCCUUUGAUACUGGGAAGCUCGAGUCCGGGAGAGGUGAGUGGAACUCCGAGUGUAGAGGUGAAAUUCGUAGAUAUUCGCAAGAACACCAGUGGCGAAGGCGGCUCACUGGCCCGAUACUGACGCUGAGGCACGAAAGCGUGGGGAGCAAAAGGG
rnacentral:rRNA from 1 species